rnacentral:lncRNA from 1 species
CCAAACACGCGGAUCUCAUCCGAACACGGGCCGGGUCAUCGGGUCGCGACUACCAUAUGGCGUCGUUUUUAAACCAUUAAAGUUGGUCAAAACAGCGCCGUUUCCAAUCCUUUAAAAUGGCUAAAUUAGCCGAAUUUGAUUAAUUUCCUUCUUUUUCCUUUAGCAAACCCUAAAUUCCCCCCUAACCGCCGAUUCCUCUCUAUGAUAAGGUGCCUUUGAGGAAUAAUCUCUCAGCUUUGACCUUCCUUCAACUUCGAUUCCAACGAAGCAAAGAGAAGAUCCAUGGCGUAUUCGCACGGUAAGGUUUGCUUCCUUCCUUUGUUUUCUUUUUUCUUUUUAAAAAAAUGCAACAAUGAUGUAUUCUAGAAAGCAAAUCGAAAAGAAAAAAAACUUAGAAAAACUCAAAUCAGAAAUCAUCUUGAAAAUUUUGACUGAUUUCCUCUCUAUUCGAUUUGCAUGCGUAUAGUGUGCGUAAGUUUUUUCUUUUACAGAUUACAUUCGGUUUUUAUAGCCAAGUGAAAUAAAAAAUAAUAACAAUAAUAAUUACAGAACGAUUUUUCUUUUUUGUUAUUCCUCUGUUGCUGUGGCUUGUGGGUUUGUUGCAGGUACAGCUGUGCAUGGAGAAACUGCUCGUGGGCGAUAGUGCGAAGGCUUCCAGAAGCUUCAAUGUUUGGGCCCUAUGAGCCUGCUUUGAAAUCGGCUGGCUGGAGGCUGUUGUGAAGGCCACUGGUGGUUGCUUGCGGCGCGAGGGGACGUUCGUGGGAGCUGCGGCGCUGUUUAGCUCGGAUUUCAAUUUCUGGAACAGAAAUUUUGGGCCAUUUGGGCUAGUUCUGGGAUUGGGCCUAUUAGGGACUUAAUUUAUUCGGGUAUUGGGUUGUUGAUUUGGGUUAGGGGACUAAAUUGGGCUGGGUUUAUUUGUAAAAAUGUUACAAUUUGUAUGAGGAUUGUUUUUGGACUUUAAUUUUGGUGUUUUUUAUUUUGAUUCUUUUUUUUUUUGGUUUUUGUGUAAGCCCGGGCGAAAUGGGCCUAUUACAAAACAUAUGAAAAAUGAUUAACCACUGUCAUAUGAAGGACUUAGUUUUGUUUUAUUGUUUGUUUUUGUCAAUUUAUUAUUUUCACAUAUUAUCAGCAAGAAAUUCAUUUAAUGGAUUAAUCACUGUUGUUUGCUUUAAGAUUGAAAUUUCAAAUUUUGAAAAAUAUAUG